AGAGUUUGAUCCUGGCUCAGGAUGAACGCUGGCGGCGUGCCUAAUACAUGCAAGUCGAGCGAACGGACGAGAAGCUUGCUUCUCUGAUGUUAGCGGCGGACGGGUGAGUAACACGUGGAUAACCUACCUAUAAGACUGGGAUAACUUCGGGAAACCGGAGCUAAUACCGGAUAAUAUUUUGAACCGCAUGGUUCAAAAGUAAAAGACGGUCUUGCUGUCACUUAUAGAUGGAUCCGCGCUGCAUUAGCUAGUUGGUAAGGUAACGGCUUACCAAGGCAACGAUGCAUAGCCGAACUGAGAGGGUGAUCGGCCACACUGGAACUGAGACACGGUCCAGACUCCUACGGGAGGCAGCAGUAGGGAAUCUUCCGCAAUGGGCGAAAGCCUGACGGAGCAACGCCGCGUGAGUGAUGAAGGUCUUCGGAUCGUAAAACUCUGUUAUUAGGGAAGAACAUAUGUGUAAGUAACUGUGCACAUCUUGACGGUACCUAAUCAGAAAGCCACGGCUAACUACGUGCCAGCAGCCGCGGUAAUACGUAGGUGGCAAGCGUUAUCCGGAAUUAUUGGGCGUAAAGCGCGCGUAGGCGGUUUUUUAAGUCUGAUGUGAAAGCCCACGGCUCAACCGUGGAGGGUCAUUGGAAACUGGAAAACUUGAGUGCAGAAGAGGAAAGUGGAAUUCCAUGUGUAGCGGUGAAAUGCGCAGAGAUAUGGAGGAACACCAGUGGCGAAGGCGACUUUCUGGUCUGUAACUGACGCUGAUGUGCGAAAGCGUGGGGAUCAAACAGGAUUAGAUACCCUGGUAGUCCACGCCGUAAACGAUGAGUGCUAAGUGUUAGGGGGUUUCCGCCCCUUAGUGCUGCAGCUAACGCAUUAAGCACUCCGCCUGGGGAGUACGACCGCAAGGUUGAAACUCAAAGGAAUUGACGGGGACCCGCACAAGCGGUGGAGCAUGUGGUUUAAUUCGAAGCAACGCGAAGAACCUUACCAAAUCUUGACAUCCUUUGACAACUCUAGAGAUAGAGCCUUCCCCUUCGGGGGACAAAGUGACAGGUGGUGCAUGGUUGUCGUCAGCUCGUGUCGUGAGAUGUUGGGUUAAGUCCCGCAACGAGCGCAACCCUUAAGCUUAGUUGCCAUCAUUAAGUUGGGCACUCUAAGUUGACUGCCGGUGACAAACCGGAGGAAGGUGGGGAUGACGUCAAAUCAUCAUGCCCCUUAUGAUUUGGGCUACACACGUGCUACAAUGGACAAUACAAAGGGCAGCGAAACCGCGAGGUCAAGCAAAUCCCAUAAAGUUGUUCUCAGUUCGGAUUGUAGUCUGCAACUCGACUACAUGAAGCUGGAAUCGCUAGUAAUCGUAGAUCAGCAUGCUACGGUGAAUACGUUCCCGGGUCUUGUACACACCGCCCGUCACACCACGAGAGUUUGUAACACCCGAAGCCGGUGGAGUAACCUUUUAGGAGCUAGCCGUCGAAGGUGGGACAAAUGAUUGGGGUGAAGUCGUAACAAGGUAGCCGUAUCGGAAGGUGCGGCUGGAUCACCU
rnacentral:rRNA from 1 species